rnacentral:rRNA from 1 species
UUGCCCAAGAGACUGGGAUAACACCUGGAAACAGAUGCUAAUACCGGAUAACAACACUAGACGCAUGUCUAGAGUUUGAAAGAUGGUUCUGCUAUCACUCUUGGAUGGACCUGCGGUGCAUUAGCUAGUUGGUAAGGUAACGGCUUACCAAGGCAAUGAUGCAUAGCCGAGUUGAGAGACUGAUCGGCCACAUUGGGACUGAGACACGGCCCAAACUCCUACGGGAGGCAGCAGUAGGGAAUCUUCCACAAUGGACGAAAGUCUGAUGGAGCAACGCCGCGUGAGUGAAGAAGGGUUUCGGCUCGUAAAGCUCUGUUGGUAGUGAAGAAAGAUAGAGGUAGUAACUGGCCUUUAUUUGACGGUAAUUACUUAGAAAGUCACGGCUAACUACGUGCCAGCAGCCGCGGUAAUACGUAGGUGGCAAGCGUUGUCCGGAUUUAUUGGGCGUAAAGCGAGUGCAGGCGGUUCAAUAAGUCUGAUGUGAAAGCCUUCGGCUCAACCGGAGAAUUGCAUCAGAAACUGUUGAACUUGAGUGCAGAAGAGGAGAGUGGAACUCCAUGUGUAGCGGUGGAAUGCGUAGAUAUAUGGAAGAACCCCAGUGGCGAAGGCGGCUCUCUGGUCUGCAACUGACGCUGAGGCUCGAAAGCAUGGGUAGCGAACAGGAUUAGAUACCCUGGUAGUCCAUGCCGUAAAC